GAAGAUGGGUGGAUCCGGCACUAAUAACAGGAAAUCUAAGCCAGUUGAUGCGAAAGGUAAAGGAAAGGCUCCUGUCGAUGACGAUACACCACGGAAAAGACGGUACACUGCAAGGGAGAAGGGAAAGGCCAAGCUCAUAAAUAGCGCUGAAGUCAUGGACGUCAUGGGUGAAUCUGGUCAUCGCGAUGUCAAGGAUACAAUUGGCACCUUUACGGCAUGGUGUAUCUGCAUUGGAGUUUGAUAAUCAGGAUAAUAAACAGAAGAUCGCUGAUUUUCUUUCUUCCCAUCCAAGAGUUACGAAGGUUAACUAUGCUGGGCUUCCUGAUCAUCUUGGACGGUCUUUGCAUUAUUCCCAGGUGUUUUAAACGUGCUACAAUGCAUGGCAAAAGGUGCAGGAUCUGUGCUUAGUUUUCUAACCGGUUCUACGGCUCUUUCAAAACACAUUGUGGAGAAAACCAAGUAUUUCAGCAUUACUGUCAGUUUUGGUGAAAUUAAUCAGCAGCACCAACGUAAACAAAGGAAAAUAAAAAUAAUUCUUAUAGUGAUUGUCAUUAUUGGAAUAGCUACAGGCCUACAGCUGAUGUACUCAUGUGCUGUAUAUGGAGGUGGAAGUGUCGAAAAAAUGUAAUGAUGAGAUUUUAAAGCAAGGAUAUGCUAUUGCAAAACUCAAAACCUAAAGAUGGAACUAGUAAAGUGGAAGUUGUAGAUUUACCAGUGUUCGGAUUGGAAAAGUUGGCAAUCGCGACAGACAAUUUUCAGGAAAUUAACAAGCUUGAGCAAGGUGGUUUUGGCACAUUAUACAAGGGAAAAUUAGAAGAUGGACUGCAUGGACAGAGAAAAUAGGUUACCAAAACUGAGACCAGCUCAACAUAUAGCUUCCUAAGGCAAGAAGGAUGUUACUAUUCAAACUUCACAGGCUGGAUUAGAAAUGCAAAAAUAGGUUGAAGCCGCUACACAUCAGUUUUAGAUAUUUGGUGCAAAUUUUCAUAUUUUUUGUUCAAGAACAAGGAAUAUUUAGAUUUAACUCUUA